rnacentral:sRNA from 1 species
CUACAUACAACCGCUCAAAUAUAGGUUUAAGAACAUUUCGAUGUCACCUAUAUAUGGCGUGACUUAUAAUU